rnacentral:rRNA from 1 species
AACGAACGCUGGCGGCAGGCUUAACACAUGCAAGUCGAACGAGAUCUUCGGAUCUAGUGGCAGACGGGUGAGGAACACGUGGGAACAUCCCUUUCAGUUCGGAAUAACGUUGGGAAACUAACGCUAAUACCGGAUACGUCCUUCGGGAGAAAGAUUUAUCGCUGAAAGAUUGGCCCGCGUCUGAUUAGCUAGUUGGUGAGGUAACGGCUCACCAAGGCUACGAUCAGUAGCUGAUCUGAGAGGAUGAUCAGCCACAUUGGGACUGAGACACGGCCCAAACUCCUACGGGAGGCAGCAGUGGGGAAUAUUGGACAAUGGGCGCAAGCCUGAUCUAGCCAUGCCGCGUGAGUGAUGACGGCCUUCGGGUUGUAAAGCUCUUUUGUCCGGGAAGAUAAUGACUGUACCGGAAGAAUAUGCCCCGGCAAACUUCGUGCCAGCAGCCGCUGUAA